rnacentral:tRNA from 1 species
GCCGGUUUAGCUCAGUGGGAGAUCACGAGAGCCAAAGCAUCGUUUCUACUUCGGUAGACAGCCUUGCUGGUCAAAUGACAACGAUUCGAUGUUAGGCCAGAGGUCAGCGGUUCGAAUCCGUUAACCGGCACCA